CCUUCAUAGAAAUUUUUAUAGGAGAGAGUUGUAUGCUAGACUUUUUUACAUAUGUAAGAAAGUAUACUUAUAUGUGAGAAAUUCUAGCAGAUGACUUUCUACUAUACCUCAAUGGACUAUGAGA
rnacentral:precursor_RNA from 12 species